rnacentral:rRNA from 1 species
AUGGAGAGGAAGAAGAAGGGGUGGUUCGAGCGCAUCAAGAGGCUCUUCAUCUCCGAGCCCAAGCAGAAACCCAAGCCAGACAAGAAGGUGAAGAGCAAGAGAUGGCUGGUAGGGAAGCUCAAGACCCAGCACUCGUUUGCCCUGCCAGCUCCGGAGCCGGAGCCGGCGACGGGUCAGAUUCAGAUAAGGCAGGCGGAGGAGGAGCAGAGCAAGCACGCGGUGGCGGUCGCGCUCGCCUCCGCGGCGGCCGCAGAGGCGGCCGUCGCGGCCGCCCACGCGGCCGCGGAGGUGGUCCGCCUCACAGGACAGCCCUCGCCGGCGCCGGCGCGUGAGGACCCCGCGUCUUCCGGCCACGAACUGUUCGCCGCCGUCGCGAUCCAGUCAGCCUACCGCGGAUACCUCGCGCGGAGGGCACUGCGCGCGCUCAAGGGGCUUGUGAGGCUGCAGGCGGUGAUCCGCGGGCAGGCGGUGCGGCGGCAGACGGCGGCGACGCUGCGGGGCCUCGAGUCGCUGGUGAAGAUCCAGGCCCGGCAGCGCGCCAGGGUCGACGUCGAGCACGACCACGAGCACGACGGCGACGGCAUGGACGCCCUGCUGAGGAGAGGCCGGGAGCUGUACGCCGCCGCGCUGCAAGAGCAGCAGCAGCAGAACAGCAGCGGCAGCAGGGGGUGGGACGGCAGCACCCUCUCCAAGGAAGAGAUGGGCGCCGUGAUGAGGAGCAGGGAGGAAGCCGCCAUCAAGCGCGUGCGCGCGCUGCAGUACGCCUCCAUCCAAAACGAGAAGAUCGGCAUCAGGAGGCAGCCCAUGUCCAGGGACGAGAUGGAGACGCUGAACCAGCGCUGGAGCUGGCUGGAGGAGUGGGUCGGCUCGCAGCCCUUCGACAAGGACGUGGCCGUCGACGUGGUCACCCACCCCCACCCGCCGCCACCUCGCUCCAGGGACUCCCUCGCCUGCCUCGAGGACGACGACGACCACGACGACGAUGGCUACGGCAGGCGGCUCGGCUACUCGUCCAGGCGGUCCUUCGGCCGCGCCAGGCGCACGCCAGGGAGGGGGAGCGUCGACGACGGGCUGCAGGCCUGCUCGCCGGCGGUGGCUUUCCCGGGGUACAUGGCGUCCACGGCGUCCGCCAAGGCCAAGUUCCGGUCCAUGAGCACGCCCAAGGAGCGCUUCGCCGUGCCAUCCGACGCAUACUCGGAGCAGUGCUUCGCCGACCGCCUCAUGUCACCCAUCCCGUCCAUGUCGCCUAUGCCGUCCAUCGCCAGCGACAUGGGCUUUGCUCGCUCCAGCAGGCCGCCGGUUGCGCAGCGGUCGCCGCGUGUCAAGGGGGGGCCGAUGACGCCGUCGAGGAUCCGCUCCAGGAGGUCCCCGAGCCGCCACAGCUUCGGCUCUGAAGCCGCGCUGCACCAGAUGCAGCUGGAGCACUACACCCCUAUUCGCUAG